UGUAAUGUAUACUAACAUUAUUUUUUGCUUUUGUUAUUGUCUAGCUAUUGUUGUGGAUGUCUGGUAUAAUGUAAACACUGGAGGGAAAGUAAUUCUUCUGAUAUGUCUGCUACUGGGGCCACUUCUGACUCUUCUGUAUAUUCUGCAUGUUAUCACUAUUGAAUAUCUGUCUUUGGCAGUAAUUCAGUUGUUGGCAUGGAUUUGUUUUCCCUGUCAUUUUAUUUGCAAACGUGUGCUUUCUUUACUCUGUAUAUCAUUGAUGAUCCUGGAAGUUCUAAGUGCAUCAGGGUCGAUCUACGUCCAUUAUGCCGUUGUGGAUAAUGUGAAAGAGCGUGAUGCGCUGACCUGUGUGACUGCAUUCCUCCACAUCUUGACCACGAUGAUACUGUUUACAAGUAUAAAGUAUUUCUCAGGUAUUCAUUACUUUUCUGAUCCUUUUCAAAUACGUUUUUUUUAGUUUAAUAGCAUGAUUAAAAAUGAAUCAAUUCAAAUAAAUUCAAAGGAAGUGGUUCAAACUUAAUUAAAAACUAAAUAUAAAUUUUACAAGAAAAGAAAAUGAGCUUUUAUCACCUUUAAAUUGUAACCGUAAACACAUUCAUACACAGCAUUGUUGGUAUCAAACACAACACAGGUUUAUAAAAAAUUUGUUAAAUAUAGGUGUCCAACAUUUAUUGGCAUCCCUAUGAAUUUAUAUGAGAAAAAUAUAUUUGAAAAAAGAAAAGUAUAUUCCAAAUGUUGUUUAAAAGUUUUUUAGUACACCUGGGUGACUAGGAACAGUUCUGAACAAAUUGUUUAGCCAUGACUUCCUGUUUCACAGGGGUAUAUAUAUGAGGUAACACAUAGGCCAAAUUCCCUUAGUCAUUCAUAACAAUGGAUAAGACCAAGGAAUAUAGCUGUGAUGUGUGGCAAAAUGUUGUUGAGCUUCACACAUUGGGAAGUGUCUGUAAGAAAAUAGCACAAGCAUUGAAAACGCCCAUUUCACCAUCAGGGUAAUAAUUAAGAAGUUCCAGUCAACUGGGCAUGUUAUGAAUCAACCUGGAAUUGGACGUGCGUCUAUAUUGUCUCAACACACUGUGAAGAGGAUGUUGUGAUACCUUGUUGGAGGCAAGCGCAGAUGAACAGGACUAGAGUGCAAGGAUCAGGCGGAAGGCGAAACAUGGAAGACAGCAGUAGGUCAGGCGAUCGGGUGAACAAUUCAG